AUUCUAGAGCUAAUACAUGCUGGUGUGCCUGACUUUUCGGAAGGGCGGUAUUUAUUAGAUAACGAACCAAUAUUCCUCUGGUCUAUUGUGGUGAAUCAUAAUAACUGAUCGAAUCGCAAAGCCUUUGGCUGCGAUAUGUCAUUCAAGUUUCUGCCCCAUCAGCUUUCGAUGGUAGUGUAUUGGACUACCAUGGCUUUUACGGGUAACGGAGAAUUAGGGUUCGAUUCCGGAGAGGGAGCCUGAGAAACGGCUACCACAUCUAAGGAAGGCAGCAGGCGCGUAAAUUACCCAAUCCUGACUCAGGGAGGUAGUG
rnacentral:rRNA from 1 species